ACUUCCGGCGCUCGCACCGCCCCGCUCUCCAGCCAAGGCUCCGGGCUGAGGCAUUUGCUUGGCUGCAGCCUCCUUCCGACCUGCCCGGCGGGACCCAGGGGACCAAGCCGAGCCGAGCCGCGGGGCCCGCUCCAGCCCGGCCAUGAGCGCGGCCGCAUGAUGCGUCCCUGCCUCGGCCGCUGCAGUCGCCGCCGCCGCCGCCGCAGGCCGGGAGGAGCCGCAGCGCCGGGCGACCCCGCCCGGGCCUCGGAUCCGAUCACAUAGGACAGUAUGCACCUUAAGAUCCUGAAGAAACGGCACAAAAUGUUCAAGUGAUGUUUAGAAAUAACUUGUGAGGGCUUCUACCACUGCUGAUGCAAAACCACAAAGGGACCUACCUGAGCCACCGUCCUAGCCAAGCGAGCAAACCUGCAGGGGGUUUGGAAGUGGACUUGGUCACCGCAGAAGCGUGUGCGCCGUUGGGGGAAGAGCUGCGUCACAGCCAGAGGGACAAAGUGUGGGUGAUCCUGGAGACGCCAGUUUCCGAGAUUGUUCUGCAUAUUCAUUUGCACAUUGUUGUCUGGGUUGGACAUGCGUGUGGGCUUCAGUGUGAGGCUUUUAAUAUGUAUAUCCUGUUAUCAAUAAAACAAUUAUCCAAG
rnacentral:lncRNA from 1 species